GUAAGAGAGGUAAAGCACUUGCAGCUUUCAUGGCAUCUCUUUUUUGGUACGCUAGAAAUCAGUGGAUUUUUCCAGACCAAAAUAUAUUUCACCUGCUCAUCUCUUUCGACUGUGUGUCUGUUUUUACAAAGAUCAGGUUUUCUCUUCAAUUUCACUUUCUCAUAGUGAGUCCACUCAGUCAAAGACUUGGGAUUAUCCUAAGCUGUAUCAGCAGCUUCUGUUGGUAAAUUUUAUCUCAUGGAAACCCCCACCCCUUGGAGUGCUUACUAUAAAUUUUGAUGGAGCAGUUACUAAAGAGAGAGCUGCUGGAGGU
rnacentral:lncRNA from 1 species